GCGCACGAGACGAGCCGCGCCAAGACCACGCGGCACCAUGGACUAGCUGGUGCGUUCAACACGGAGAGCAUGGCUUUCCAGAGGAGGAUCCUGGAGCGGUCAGGGCUCGGCGACGCGACGCACUUCCCGGCGUCGGUCAUCAAGGUGCCGGUGGACAUACGCCUCCGCUCGGCGGAUGAGGAGUCCCAUGCCGUCGUUUUCGGCGUGAUCGACGAGCUGCUGACCAAGACCCGCGUGCGGCCGUUCGACAUCGGUGUGGUCAUCGUGAACUGCAGCCUCCACAGCCCGACGCCGUCCUUCACCUCGCUUGUCGUGAACCGGUACUCCUUGCGCAACGACGUCGUCACCCACAACCUUAGCGGAAUGGGCUGCAGCGCCGGCAUUAUCGCUAUUGACCUCGCCAGACGCCUGCUUCAGGUACACUUGGACACAUACGCAUUAGUCGUGAGCACAGAGAAUACCACCCUAAACUGGUAUAUGGGCAAUAACCGGUCCAUGCUGGCGCCCAACAUGCUGUUCCGGAAGGGUGGCGCGGCGAUUCUUCUGUCAAACCGUCGCAGCGAGUGGCGGCGCGCCAAGUACCAGCUGAUCCACACGGCGCGCACGCACCGCGGCGCCAGCGACCAGAGCUACGCUUGCGUGAUGCAAGAGGAGGACGACGCCGGGCACCUGGGCGUGUCCCUCUCCAAGGAUCUCAUGUCCGUGGCCACCGAGGCGCUCCGCACCAACAUCACCACCCUUAGCCCCCACAUCCUACUGCUGAGCGAGCAGCUCCGGUUCCUCUGCGCCGUCGUGCUCAAGCGGGUGUUCCGCACCAAGGCGAGGCCGUACAUCCCUAACUGCACGUCUUCGGUGCAACACUUUUGCAUCCACGCAGGGGGGCGCAGCGUGCUGGACGAGCUGGAGAGAAGCCUGAGGCUGAGCGCGUGGGACAUGGAGCCCUCGAGGAUGACACUCUACAGGUUCGGCAACACGUCGAGCAGCUCGCUGUGGUACGAGCUCGCCUACUGCGAGGCCAAGGGCAGGAUCAGGAGGGGAGACCGUGUGUGGCAGAUCGCAUUCGGCUCGGGGUUCAAGUGCAACAGCGCCGUGUGGAAGGCGCUUAGGACGGUUGAGGGCUCCGGCGACGCCAAAGAGAGCAACCCCUGGGCACAGGACGUCGACGUUCUUCCAAUCCAUGUGCCCAAGGUGAUGUUGCUCGACGACGAGGCCUUGUGUGUACCU
rnacentral:rRNA from 1 species